GUAGAAGUGUACGUGGGCUUUGAAUGUGAUGUACGUUUAUAAAGAAUAGGUGAAAUGGAUACUUAAAACUCUUCUGGUUUGAAUGUGGAUUCAGAAGGCCCAGGCCUGGCUACUGGAAGAAUAUAUGUGGACAUUUUUUUCUUAAAGCAGUCGCCCCAGAUCCUCAGUAGACCACUUUUGGAGAGACAGUUUAGACUCAGCAGACCAGUGCAACACUUGGUUCUUCUCUCUGGAUCUUUCUGCUGGUCUGGUCCCUGGCAUGGUACAGUCCUUGAGUAGGCCUCUGGCCACUGCUGGUGUGGACCUGCAGCAGAGAAUAAGCUGCAGAGCCAGACCUGCCUGGAAAAUGCAAAGGUAAAUGGUGAUGACCUGCCUGGAAAAUGCAAAGGACCCCCAGGCACAAAGCUCACUAUGUGUAACGGAGGACAUUGUCCAUCAUAACAAAGGGCUAAAAAGUGAAGACAAACCAGCACGUACAAGGAGAUUAUGGGACAAUGUCAGUUAA
rnacentral:lncRNA from 1 species